ensembl:lncRNA
UAACAAGUUGAUAUUUACGAGAGAGGAGACGUUAAUUUCUGGCAGAAACCCCUCCCGAACAGCUCCGGCUGCACGAGGUGCACCGCUAGGUGGCACAGCCCACUUACAGAUCGCUGCCCUGUGCUCCCGUGCUGCCCGGGGCUGGGUGUGCCGCAAUCACAGCUCACAGAAAUGUAUAAACAAGCCAGAGAAGCGGCCAGCAUGAAAAAUUGCGAUGGAGGCAAGAAGACUUUUCAGGUAUCAGUCUUGAAUCCUGCUGGCAAACCGAGGUGGAGGCCUUGAUGUGGAAGAGAAAUAAAUGAUUCUUCACUGUUUGUGCUAAGGACUUUCAGAUUCUCAUAUCGUCCUGCCAAUGAAGAGUUUGGGGGUGUACAAGAAGCUCAGAGGGGACAGAACCAGAACAGCUGAAUCAAACUGGACAAAGGUUUAUUCCAUACCAUAGGAUGUCAUGAUCAGCAAUAAAAAUGGAAGGAGUUGACCCAGGGAGAUGCUGUUGCUCGGGUUCUGGCUGAGUAUCUGUUGGCUGAUGCUGCAACAACGGUUUCUAGCCUCUGGCAAGGAAAACAGAUGAGCAAAUAUCUGUCUUGGAAGCUAAAUGCAUCGUCCCAGCGCAGGCCUCUCCAGCUUUCCAGAUACCAUGAGUCCUCAGCCUGCUCUUAAAUUGCUACAACAACAUUAUGGAUCCUUCAUACUCAGAUUUUUGUGAGCAUCUACUCUGACAUCCUUCAUAACAUGUAACAGUAAAUUGUGGAAGCUGUUCAGAAGAUGGAUGCAUCAUGGACUUUUGUACCUGCCUUUAUGCAUGGAACAUCCCUAUCAUCUGCAACAAAGUGAAUUUGCAGUUUUCAUUGUGGUUGCUUUAGGAAAGGCCUCACCUACAUUCCAUCAGGUAGAAGCAUACUGGAAACCAAUCCUGUAUCUGAAUACAUAUAUAACAGUCUUAAGGGUAUUUCAGAAUGAACAAACAUAAGUUGGUCUGAAAGGAAUGCCUCCUACACGUUUCUGUGGAAACUACUACCACAGAUACGAUAACAUUAUUUGAUAGCACAAAUUCAAAGCUAUCUUUGAAUUUGCUAAACAAAAUACUGUUUUUCAGCACAGUCAACAACAUUAGCAGAUUUGUGCAGAUGAACUGAUUGAGAUGCUUUUCCUUACGCAGAAUGUAUAUAGACAGCCAGAACAUGGUUUGUCUUUUUCCAUCACUGUCUUCACUGCUGUAAUGCAUCACCCACCACCUCAGUGUGCUCACAUUCACUGUUUGCUCUCCAUAAACACUCGCCAAGUGUAGAGGAAUGUCAGUGGGUGCCAUUUUUUCCCCAUGGAAGAAUUUGAUGACACACCUUUGCUUCGUAUGCACUUCCACGUCAGACACCAUUGUGUCAGACUGCCCCUCUGCUGCCAUCUGUAACACAGAAACAUAUAAAAGGGUAUUGGUGGAAAGGUCCAUCCUCUACUGCCAUACCACCAGCAUCUGCCUCUAACUUUGUGCAUUAACAUAAUAAAAUAUGAAGUGGCCAUCAUAAUAUAGGAGACAUUACUCUCAGAGAGGCUCUUAUACUACAGAAAUUUAAAUUUAAAACCUCAAAACAGAUAAAAUAUUUGUAUCCAAGGAGGAAAAAAUCUCUUUUGUAUGCAUUAAUGUGUUUAUCUAGUUAAUAUCUAAUAAUAGUUAACAGAUAGUGCCAAAGUAGUAAGGUAGAAAGAUCAAUUUAGCACACAGGGUGCAUAAAAUAUGUAACAAGAUAGACACUCCAAUCUGAGAAUGGUAGCAGAAACUAAAGGCCAAAUGUUUUGAAUCCAUGCAUUUAAGAAGCAUAGUAAAGUAAGGCAAGUGUAUGGGAGACCAAUUUUUUUUUUUUUUUGUCUCUAAAAUCAUUUUAUGGGCUUUUUAAAACCAAAGCUUAAUAUUUUAAAAAUCCAGACUUCAAAAACACAUUUAUGAGACACGUUUACUAUGGGCAAUUAAUUUUAAAAAGUAAAAAUACAGGGGAAAAAAAUGAGAUACUGUAAUGCCAUUAUUUUAAAUUUCUCUAAGGAUGUAAACCUUAUCCACUGAAAAGUAUGCUAUUUUUUUUGGUUUAUAGGAAACCUCAACUUAUUAGAAUUUUGUUAUAUUAAAGAGUUAAUUCAAAAUGAAACCAGUUUAACACAGUAAAGAAUCAUGUCUUGGCAUUUGAAAGAUCAGUGUAAAUAGGAAUAACCCUUCUUUUCUUCUAUUAACCCAGCAAUUUUCAUUCCUUAAUGAGAUACAGAACAUGUAGGUCCUACUUGUAGGAUUUGCUCAUCUUUCUCAGCCCUUCAGGGCUCCCAAGAGUAACUAAACCAAAUCUAAUCAACAAAUUCUUACUAAAUUUAACAAAUAACUAGGAGAUACUAAAGUCAGAGUAACGGAUACAGUCAAUACAUGAACUCAGAUUAUAACUGUAAGGCAAUUAUGGGAAAGAAAAAUAGGUCAGAAGAAAAUAAGGCAGAAUAUGCUGUGUUUUUAAUGCUGUAUUUAUUAGCUGUCUGGUCCAGCUACUUUAUCUCUUUCUAAUCAUCUCUGUAAAUAAGACUAGUAAUGUCAUAUUCUUUCAUUCCUGCGUUACACUGACAAUUUUCGUUGCUUAAUGAGAUUGAAUGUUUCUGGGUUCUACAUAUGUAUACUCACUUUGGGGCAUUUUCUUUCCCAUGAUAAAAAGAAAAUCCUCCAAGAAUAAUAAACAAUUUGUAGUGAAUUUGGCAAACAAGCAGGAGAAAUGUGUUAUGCUUUAAAUUUUAAGUUAUAAUAAAAUUGCUCUUAAAAACCACAACAUAAAUUUCUUCGUGAGGUGUGGUAUGGCAUGAAUCAGUACAUUGGUUGUUAUAUCCAGAGUCUACACAGUAUUGGCUACUGCUGGAUACAGAAUAUUGGAUUUCAUAAAACUGUCAUGAUUAAUACACUAAUACAGUGGUAAAUCCUUUGUCACCCAGAAUAUGAACAGGUUUCCCUUCCCUUCCCUUCCCUUCCCUUCCCUUCCCUUCCCUUCCCUUCCCUUCCCUUCCCUUCCCUUCCCUUCCCUUCCCUUCCCUUCCCUUCCCUUCCCUUCCCUUCCCUUCCCUUCCCUUCCCUUCCCUUCCCUUCCCUUCCCUUCCCUUCCCUUCCCUUCCCUUCCCUUCCCUUUUUUCCUUUCUUUUCCUUUCUCUCUCUCUCUUUUUUUUUUUUGAACUACUAGUAUUUAUAUUUAUAAAUAAUUACACUGAUUAUAUUUUAAAUUGAUUAUACAAUAUGAAAUUAUGCACUCUCUUCCCUCUGGCUUUUUUCCACAUUCAUGUAGAGCUGUUUACAUGUCACUUCCUUGUAUUUGAUUCUCUCAGUCUUCUUAAAGGAGAGCAGAUCCUAUAAAUACCUAUUCAAUAAUAUUAGUAAAAUCAUUAAAUGAUAGAACAAGUAUCUUUUCAAGGCUCUAUGGUAAAGUCCCCAAAGUAAGCCUACUGUCAAACCAAGAGAUUGUUUGCAGUGGAAGAGCAACAGAAGGGGAAGCAUUAAGACCUGGAUGCAGACUGAAAUAACAUAGAAACCAGUUGAAAAUAUAGGACGAGCAAGACUGGAACCAUCCAAAGUUGAACUUUCUACCCUACAUGGUCAUAAUCCUCAGGAGAAAGAACAUCUGAGCAAAUUCACAAAGAAUCCAAUAUCCACAAGUCAUGAACUGAUGCACAGAAAAACAGGAAGAGGAGGGAGAAUUGAAUGCUUCUAGCGUUGGUGUUAGCCUAGCAAAGGAAACAAAAUGUCUUUAAAAAAUAGGAAAUAUGAAUAAUGGAUCCAUGUUUUAACUUUUAAAUAUUAAUUCCUGGAAGUUAAAUGUAUUUGAGUAUUUUUACAGCUAACAGGUACGUCCCACCUUUGUGUCACCCCUUCUGUGCUCUGUAUUGUUAUAUUUUUAUGUUUCUUAAACUUUGUUCUCAAAGGUUAACUGUGUAAUUUGAAGUCUCUGUAAAACAUGAAUGCUUUUUUGCUGCCCUUAAUCUACAUUUUAAUUCUUUUCAAUCAUUUCUUAUUCACGUGAAUCAGUUAAAUACAUGAAAAAGGAAUGAUUUGUCUCUGAUGAUUCUGAUUAACUUAAUACAUAUUUCAUUAUCACAGGUUAUAUAUACCUUUUAAAGUAGCUUUACCCACUUACAUGCUUAAUGACUAUGACUCCUAUAUUUUGACCCAGCUCCUUAGUUUGGGUUUGUCUCCCUCUGCUUGGUUUCGCAAGGUGAUGUGAAGUUCUGACAUCUUUGUGUUAGAUUGCUGACAAUUUCAGUUUAACAUGGCCAUGUGUGCUCUGCUGUCCUACCUUGUCAUUGCUUUCACC